CUAAGUUGACCUAAGUUGUUUCAGUUGUGUCCAACUCUUUGUGACCCUAUCGACUGUAGCCCGCCAGUUUCCUCUGUCCGUGGGAUUUUCCAGGAAAUGAGCAAUGAGGACAGAAGCCUGGUGAUUCUCCAUCACAAGAAGGACGCCAUGCUGUCCACUGAUGAAGGAAGGUGAGCUUGAGGUCUACACGCAAGGAGAACAGAGUUGAUGGGAACUGCUAAUGAAUGGCUUUGGAAACUGUCAGGCAAGACAGCUUCCCAAUUACAGGGGCCACUGAGAAACACAAACAGCCGCUAAACACCAGUGGGUGUUUCCUGCCAUUCCGCUCAUCACGCUGCUGCUCCGAAAAGCGCCCACCACUUACUGACGACCACAGAUCCCAGGGAAGGGACCAGGACGUCUGAACCUACUGGCCUGUGUGGGGAAGUGAGCCUAUGUGGUGAAAAUGAGAAAACAAAAACUAUUCACGGUUGAAUCUAUUGGCCACAUUGUUAAGGUCAAAAAUCUAACCACCUAAGGCCAGAUUCAAUAAAAAUCUGUCUGGCUUUUAUGCCAA